UGAGGCAAAUCAUAAUUUUUUAAACACACAUUUAACACGGCUGCACUUUUAGAGAAAACAGAGUCAAAUAUUAAGACACGUUUGAAUAAUUUAUCAUUUAGACUUUUAAAAUUCAGAGAUUUAAUAAGUUUGAAUCUAAAAUGUGUAAUAAGUCAGAAAUAGCAGGUUUGUUGUAGUUUAACUGAAGAAAACAAUGAAACUACGUAACAGAGAGAAGGACGCAAGGAUGUGAGAAAGGAACUAGGAGGUAGGAGGUAGGAGGCGAGUUUAGGACAGAGAAAUGUGACACGGCCGAAAAAACAGAUCUUCUCCUCCUCCGGGUCCUGGAGGGUCUGCAGAGUCCUGGGUCAGGUCUAAGUCUGGACCAGGGUCUAAACCAGGUCCAAACCAGGUCUAAGUCUGGACCAGGGUCUAAACCAGGUCCAAACCAGAACUAAG
ensembl:lncRNA